CCAAUCUAGGCGUCCAAAUCUGUCUCUGACAUUUCCCUGUACGUUAGCGAUGAUCCGCAAGGUAGCGACGACGAUUGGACCAGGGCAGCCGGCGUUCCCUGAUCAGGAUGGCUGGCCUGG
rnacentral:ncRNA from 1 species